rnacentral:rRNA from 1 species
GUUGAACGCUGGCGGCGUGCCUAAUACAUGCAAGUCGAGCGAACAGACGAGGAGCUUGCUCCUCUGACGUUAGCGGCAGACGGGUGAGUAACACGUGGAUAACCUACCUAUAAGACUGGGAUAACUUCGGGAAACCGGAGCUAAUACCGGAUAAUAUAUUGAACCGCAUGGUUCAAUAGUGAAAGACGGUUUUGCUGUCACUUAUAGAUGGAUCCGCGCCGCAUUAGCUAGUUGGUAAGGUAACGGCUUACCAAGGCGACGAUGCGUAGCCGACCUGAGAGGGUGAUCGGCCACACUGGAACUGAGACACGGUCCAGACUCCUACGGGAGGCAGCAGUAGGGAAUCUUCCGCAAUGGGCGAAAGCCUGACGGAGCAACGCCGCGUGAGUGAUGAAGGUCUUCGGAUCGUAAAACUCUGUUAUUAGGGAAGAACAAAUGUGUAAGUAACUAUGCACGUCUUGACGGUACCUAAUCAGAAAGCCACGGCUAACUACGUG